CCUGAUUAGCUCUGUGACAGUGUUCAGGUCUCUCUCUGCUCUCACUGGGACAGUGUUUUUGGAGUUUUGUUUUCCUGUACCUCUCCUGUGUUUGGAUGGAGGAGGAGCCUCCAGCCCUGUGGGUGUGUUCACCUGCUCUGGACGGCGUUCCUGGUGUACACCCCUGCCUCCCUGAUCUAAAGUGGCUGUCAAUCCCCCGAAAAUGGACGACCCUGACCAAAUCAACAGACCUACAAAGAAGGCCGGGUAAUAUGGAAUUUGAAGGGAGAUAAAUAAACCUGGACACCCCUUUCACCAAAUGGAAUCACCACAACAUCAGACGGAAUACAGCGGAAUAAUUAGUUGCGUUGUUCGCGCCCCCCAGGGACACCGGGUGCUGUUUGUCGGCCUGCGCGGAUAACAACAGACACACAGACUGUGGAAACAUCUCUCCCAAUAACGAGUACACAAGUCGUUUAAAAAGCCAAUAAUUGUGCAGGAGCAUGAAAGAUAAUCCUUGUAUGGAAGCUGAGAGGUCAGGCGUUCCUACCAAGCCAGCAGGUCACAUAGACGCCGUGUUCGGACAGCAAACAUCCUUCUUCUCUACUUUUAAUCUCUGUUUACAGGAUCUACACAGUCAGCUUUGGAAGCAUUCUAGUGUCUGUUUGCUGUCCAAGUACUGUAGAUUACAUCAAUCAAGCAUCAGCAGGCUUUGGUGUGUGCAGGGAAAACAGUCUCUACGGUGAGCAAAAGCAGGCAGAAUGCACACCGCCAUGACAUCCUCUCUCUGUAUAAAAAAUUACAACUUGAGCAACACUUUUUUUAUUUGAAGCUGUGUUAAGAGAAGUUUUCCCUAAUCAGUUUGGAGUUCCUGCUACCUGAAGUGCAUUGAGUGGUGCGUUGUUAUUUUGGCAAACUUGAGCUCUGAAGCCACUGAGUGAUUGUAAUGUCUGCCAUCAAACUGACAACUACUUGUAACAGAUAAACGGAUGCUGAGGUGGGCUGUAGUGGAUUUAGAAACAAGCGCUUAUGUAUAUGCCACUUCUUGGCUGCCUGUAUACCCUAACCUGUUAUAAUUCUUUCUUUCUACCAAAGUAAAUGUCAUUUUUGGAGCCGUCAUCAUACCUGAAAACUCACCAAACUUGACACACUCAUCAGGCCGGGUGUAAAAUUUGAUAUUCUUUUGGUCCCGUGCAAAAAGGCCCAAAAAUGGCUCAAUAGCGCCCC